AUCGCUUCUCAGCCUUUUGGCUAAGAUCAAGUGUAGUAUCUGUUCUUAUCAGUUUAAUAGCUGAUACGUCCUCUAUCCAAAUCUACCGACUUGGGAACAGAGAACACGUGGAAAUACAUGCUGGAAGUGAGUUUGCCUCUCUCGUGAUUCUUCCCACAGCAUAGCCCUC
rnacentral:snRNA from 1 species